UACGAAGGGGGCUAGCGUUGUUCGGAAUUACUGGGCGUAAAGCGCGCGCAGGCGGCUAUCCAAGUCAGUGGUGAAAGCCCGGAGCUCAACUCCGGAACUGCCAUUGAAACUGUUUAGCUGGAGUAUGAGAGAGGUGAGUGGAAUUCCCAGUGUAGAGGUGAAAUUCGUAGAUAUCGGGAGGAACACCAGUGGCGAAGGCGGCGACCUGGGCCAAUAUUGACGCUGAGGUGCGAAAGCGUGGGGAGCAAACAGG
rnacentral:rRNA from 1 species